CCUACGGGAGGCAGCAGUGGGGAAUAUUGCACAAUGGGCGAAAGCCUGACGCAGCGACGCCGCGUGAGGGAUGAAGGUCUUCGGAUCGUAAACCUCUGUCAGCAGGGAAGAACGGUCACUGUGCUAAUCAGCAGUGAAUUGACGGUACCUGACUAAGAAGCCCCGGCUAACUACGUGCCAGCAGCCGCGGUAAUACGUAGGGGGCAAGCGUUAUCCGGAUUUACUGGGUGUAAAGGGAGCGUAGGCGGCGAUGCAAGUCAGAAGUGAAAGCCCGGGGCUCAACUCCGGGACUGCUUUUGAAACUGUAUGGCUAGAUUGCAGGAGAGGCAAGUGGAAUUCCUAGUGUAGCGGUGAAAUGCGUAGAUAUUAGGAGGAACACCAGUGGCGAAGGCGGCUUGCUGGACUGUAAAUGACGCUGAGGCUCGAAAGCGUGGGGAGCAAACAGGAUUAGAUACCCCAGUAGUC
rnacentral:rRNA from 1 species